rnacentral:tRNA from 1 species
GGGCGAUUAGCUCAGUGGCAGAGCGCCUCGUUCACACCGAGGAGGUCGGAGGUUCAAGUCCUCCAUCGCCCACCA